rnacentral:rRNA from 1 species
UUUAAGCCCUUUUAAACACCCCCAGGGAUUGCCUCAGAUACGGUGAUUGCAAGCGGCAACAGCUCACAUUUGAAAUCCUGGCCCUCGGCCCGUAGUUGUAAUUUGCAGAGGAUGCUUUUGGCGCGGGGCCUUCCGAGUUCCCUGGAACGGGACGCCAUAUAGGGUGAGAGCCCCGUACGGUUGGACGCCAAGCCUCUGUAAAGCUCCUUCGACGAGUCGAGUAGUUUGGGAAUGCUGCUCAAAACGGGAGGUAAAUGCCUUCUAAAGCUAAAUACCGGCCAGAGACCGAUAGCGCACAAGUAGAGUGAUCGAAAGAUGAAAAGCACUUUGAAAAGAGGGUUAAAUAGGCACGUGUAAAUUGUUGAAAGGGAAGCGCUUUAUGACCAGGACUUGCGCCCCGUGGAAUCAUCCAGCGUUCUCGCUGGUGCACUUCGCGGGGCCCAGGCCAGCAUCGAUUUUCCCAGGGGGGACAAAAGCCGCGGGGGACCGUAGCUCCUCCGGGAGUGUUAUAAGCCCGCGGCCACAAUGCCCUUGGGGGGAUCGAGGUCCGCGCUCCGCAAGGAUGCUGGGCGUAAUGGUCAUCAAGCGACCCGUCUUGAAACACGGACCAAGGAGUCAAGCAUUACGGCGAAGUGUUUGGGUGCCCAAACCCGCACGCGAAAUGAAAGUGAACGCAGGUGAGAACUUUCGCGCAUCAUUGACCGGAUCCUGAUGUAUUCGGAUGGAUUUUGAGUUAAGAGCCUUACCGUUUGGGACCCCAAAAGAUGGGUGAACUUUUGCCUGGGAUAAGGGGGGAAGCCCAGAAGGAAAACUCUUGGUGGGAGGCUUCCCAGCGGUUCUUACGUUGCCAAAUUCGAUUCGGUUAAAAUUUUGGGCCAUGGGGGGCCAAAAGAACUUAAUUCGAACCAUCUUAGUUCCCUGGGUUUACCGCCGAAAUUUUCCCUUAAGGAUAGCCAAUGGUUGGGUUCAAUUUUAUGAAGGUAAAGCGAAUUGAUUAGGGACUUCGGGGGCGCCUUUUUAGCCUUCAUUCCUUCUUCAACUUAAAAUUGUUAAAAGCCCUUGUUCUUAAUUGAACUGGGCAUUCUAAU